ACUAAUAGUCAUGUCAUUGUACAUUAUCAGGAAGGGACCCAAAUCAGGGCCAAAGUGCUAAAGCUCCCCAGCUAGCCUACCCAAUAGAAGAUGGAUCUGAGGAACCUGUCUCUGAGUUCUUGUUUGAGAAGUUUUUACACUGUAACUUGCAAAACCAUACAAAUCCAACAACUACUGCCACUAGUGCAAGCACCCCCGCAGCACCUCCAACUAUAGCUCCAUACGGCUUCAACAUCAGGUAAAAGCUCUGUGUCUCCUUCAACAAACCUGAACAUUGAACCUGUGAUGCAGAAGAACCAUAUAGCCUGAAAUAUAAGAAUUUAAAGAAUCUUAAUUGAAUGAUCCAUCUUAUUCAUAAAAUGCCAAUAAUGAUGACCUCAACAACUCAAGACCAGAUUUUGGAGAAAAAAGAGCUCAGGAUUUCAAUACCAGUAAAGGAAGUCCGAGAUCAGGUGGUCUCCUUGAUUGAAAAUCCUCUAGUGUGUAAUGACAUUUCAACAGUUCGUACCACUUCGAAUGUGUGCUGUGCCGACAAGAGCUCAAAAAUGAAAACUGGAUGAUCCUGAGUAUCCACUUGGGAGACAGAUAAUGUGGUAAGGACCAAUGCUACUGAAAUUUAAACCAGAGAUCAACAGACAACUCAUUGGCUUGUCAAGGUGCCCCACUUAGCUGUUCAAUGCCCAGCAUCUUAUUGGACAUGACAAUGAAUCUCCAUUGCUAAAGAGCAAGUUGUCCUUCUUCCAAACUUACUCUGCUUUGUGUGUGGGAGGGGAGUGGGGUGGGGGGAGACAGAGGGUGAUUCCCAAAACAAGUAGAAAAAUUCAAGUAGAAGUCACUACUCUAUCACUUACUGCUGACAGAAGCCAUGUUGAUUAUGUCCCAGCAUUGGUUCCACAUAAGUCUCAUAAUCAGUCUCUUGUACUUCAAAUUUCAGGUACCUCAGGCAGAAUGGUAGUAGCAAGAGCCUGGAUGGGCAUUUGACUACAGCAAGUAUUUCUAUCAGGAGUGAAAGUGACCAUAAUUGGACUAGUACUGGAAGACAUCAUUAUUGAAGGGGAUCAAAAGAAAAGGUAGUUAUCCGGCUAUCAAUUCCAAGUCUCUUCCCUCAAUUCACCUAUCUUCCUUUUUGCCUCUUUUUUGUCAUCUGAUCUGGAAAGAAGAGAGUGAGUUCCCAUUCUUGUAUAUUGAGAUGGGACUCUUCCUCAUAUGGGGUCAUGACAGCUGAACCAAUGAGACAUUGCCCCAGCCCGUCCAGCAGGUGCCCAGUUUCCCUGGUUUAUAUGUUCUUAGUUUUCUUGCAAGAAAGAUAAGUUCGUCUGUUUUGGCAAAAUGGGCAUUUGUAUUUUCCUCUCUUCUUGCUUUCUUUUUGUAGGUAUGCAACUGGUUGGGCUCUGAUAGUGAAGAGAUGGGUAAUGCUCUUGAGCUGUAAGUAUCUCCCUCCCUCUCUCUAUCUCAUAUUUAUUUACCUUGCAUGUUUUCCUGAGUUUGUUCUGUACUGUCUUGUGCUGUAAAGCACAAGGGGAUUGGUGGAAAGAAGCUUGUCAUCUUGUGCAGUUCUGAAUGCUGGAUACAAGAGGCCCAUUUCACAGAGAGAGAUAGAGGUUUUGUUGGGAAAUGUGGACUUCCAACAGCAUGUUGUUAGGAUCUGCUCUCUUUGACUGUCUCAGCAAGUGGUAUAUCUUUAAGCUUCACCCCUUCCUUUUAUUGCUCUUUAUUUUUUUUCUUUGGCUGUCUUGAGCUACAACCUUCCUCUGCCACAGCUACAAAAGCAUAAACACCACCACAUUCGUGGUUUGGCCUCACUGCAUUAAACCCCUGCCCCAACCCCACACUGAAACAAUUCCCCACCUUCUUCCUCCUACCUCUUGAUGAUGUUGUGCAAAGCCCUCUACCGACACAAUCUUGAUAUUCCUCAAGUCAACUACCGGGUAUGACACUAAACUUGAUUGCACAUGUUGGAUCAAAAUUUAAUUGCGAUAAGGCAGUUUGCAUUUGGCCUUAUUAGGCUAGGUUGACCAUACAUGAUGAACAGUUCGAGGCAAUGCAAACUAUUAGUAUCCUUUUCUGUCAUCUUCCUACUGGCUCUUGGAAAUGGCUGCGGGGCAGCAGAUCAGAUGCCAUCCACACUUGCUACACAUGAUGGUGAUACAAAAGGAAUCAAAGAAAGUUGAUCUGGCUUUUCUUACUAUGAUAAGUCUGCAAAAAAAUGAUGGUUCUGGCCUCAUUCAAUCUUUCAUUUGUUGUUCUGUGAUUAUUACUUGUCAAAGAAAUGGUUUUCCAGACCUUGAAACUUCAGAAGUAGCAUGAUUUUUUUUACCAACUCUGGUUGCCUGCCUGUAAUUAACAUCAAAAUUUAUGAUAUUUCAUUCUCUGGUUUAUAGUGGUA